rnacentral:rRNA from 1 species
GAUGAACGCUGGCGGCGUGCCUAAUACAUGCAAGUCGAGCGAACAGACGAGGAGCUUGCUCCUCUGACGUUAGCGGCGGACGGGUGAGUAACACGUGGAUAACCUACCUAUAAGACUGGGAUAACUUCGGGAAACCGGAGCUAAUACCGGAUAAUAUAUUGAACCGCAUGGUUCAAUAGUGAAAGACGGUUUUGCUGUCACUUAUAGAUGGAUCCGUGCCGCAUUAGCUAGUUGGUAAGGUAACGGCUUACCAAGGCGACGAUGCGUAGCCGACCUGAGAGGGUGAUCGGCCACACUGGAACUGAGACACGGUCCAGACUCCUACGGGAGGCAGCAGUAGGGAAUCUUCCGCAAUGGGCGAAAGCCUGACGGAGCAACGCCGCGUGAGUGAUGAAGGUCUUCGGAUCGUAAAACUCUGUUAUUAGGGAAGAACAAAUGUGUAAGUACCUAUGCACGUCUUGACGGUACCUAAUCAGAAAGCCACGGCUAACUACGUG